UACGGAGGGUGCGAGCGUUGUCCGGAAUCAUUGGGCGUAAAGGGCGCGUAGGUGGCCCGGUCAGUCUUUGGUGAAAGCGCGGGGCUCAACCCCGGAAUUGCCUUUAAGACUGCAUCGCUAGAAUUGUGGAGAGGUAAGCGGAAUUCCGAGUGUAGAGGUGAAAUUCGUAGAUAUUCGGAAGAACACCAGUGGCGAAGGCGACUUACUGGACACAUAUUGACGCUGAGGUGCGAAAGCGUGGGGAGCAAACAGG
rnacentral:rRNA from 1 species